rnacentral:rRNA from 1 species
ACUGAAUAGAUACCCGGGUAGUCCUGGCCGUAAACGAUGUCCACUAGAUCGUGGUGGCUCUGACGCCAUCAUGGUCGAAGCAAAAGUGCUAAGUGGACCGCCUGGGAAGUACGGUCGCAAGGCUAAAACUCAAAGGAAUUGACGGGGGCGUCACACAAGCGGUGGAGCAUGUGGUUCAAUUCGAAGCAACGCGCAGAACCUUACCUGGGCUUGACAUGCUAGGAUUAUCCCUAUGAAAGUAGGGUAGGCCCUUCGGGUACGAACUAGUACAGGUGCUGCAUGGCUGUCGUCAGCUCGUGUCGUGAGAUGUCGGGUUAAG